GAUCCCCCCUCCUCAUGUCGAAUCUGGCCGCAGAAGUGGCCGAGAAGGCCCUCGAGCUCGGCAUGCUCGCGCCAGCGCGCUCUAGGCUCCAUCGGAGGCGGACGCGGAGGCGCAGGACUCCACGCCUCUCCUCUGCCCUGCUCCUUCUUCGAAUCCAGUCGCCUAAGUGCUCGAGGAGGCGCUCGAGCUUGGCAUGCUCGUCGGCGACACCGGGCCCCUCCCUCCUCCUGUUGCCUCGCCGCCGCCAUGAGCCCCUCCACCCUCUCCUGUGUGAUUGUACAGCUCCAGGCAGUCUGUUGGCACAAUGAAUAAUGUCUGCUCUUCGACUGGAGCAGUUCUUCCCUGUUGGUAAUCAGAGGAUACAUGCUACUAAUUCUUCAACUGAAAUUAAUUUUCAGUUUGAUCCAAGAGCAAAUCAUGAACCUCAAGUUUUCUUAGCACCUAUGCCAAAGAGAAGAAGGUUAGUUUCUUUCAAGAAUGAAAGAACUGGUACCAAAGGAACUGCUGUCAGUAAAAGACAUUAUGGGAAGCAAGCUGACACCCCACCGCAACCUGUGCCUAAAGCAAAUGAAGCAAGUGCAGGGGCCAACCCUUUUCUAUGGAGCACAAUUUCAAGCUCAUCAACCAACAUAACCUUUGGCACUAAUAGCAAUCGCACAUAUUGUGGACAGCUUCACAAUGUGUCCCUCACUGAGAAAUCACCAUGAAUGUUCCCUUUCAAGUCACUUCAUAAGUUGUUCUGUUAUUGGGCUUUGUUAGAUAAGCUGAUUUAACUGAGUAUUAUUCUGCUCUAGAUUGUUGCUUCUGGUUGUGAGUGAAUCUAAGAGUUAACAUGGUACAAUAUCUUCUCGAAGAUGAUGUAUUCCUUCAUAAAAAAGGAUGUUGGAGAAGUUAUUAUUGAAGAGGAGUUCAGUCUCAUGUGAUUCUCAAGAGCUAAAAUGGAACAAGAAGUGCAGGCCUCUCAUGUCUACACUAACUAAUCAGAAAAAACGUGGUAUCAGAAAAGGGCGAAUAGGGGAAGAAUCAACAUAGAUAUUGUCCCGGUUUUAUCCCGUCCUGGAGCUACAAGAAGGCUGGGUGAAGUCUACGAUGGGUUCUUUUCCAAGCAAAGAGAAGGCUGAGGCGACUCUGGUCUACAGCUACAAGAACGCCAUCAGCAGGUUCGGGACGAAGCUCACGCCCGCGCAAGUCGCCGUGUUGAGGAGUGAGUUCCCCUCUUGCUGUUAUGCUCUGCUCUCACAGUCAACUGAAUCCCUUUAGUUAGCAAUAAAACUACAGUUGCAA